UAUCUGUGUGGUUUCACUCCUCCAUUGUACAGUUCUCCUCCCAGCUGUGGGUGUACGCAAGUCACACCUGUAUUGCAGCUCCUCCUAACAGCAUGGUCAAGCAGUGUGGAGGUCAGUGUGGACUGGAGAACCUGCCUGAGGAACUGGGUGUCUACUCAAGCGAUUAAACUGUGUGGAGUCUGCAGCAAAGCUGUAGCUGGUGUCUGAGCCACCCGGCUGAGAGCUGGCAGGCAGUUGUUCAUAUGGCAGUAGAGUGGGUGAGGCUCCAGAGAAGGUGUGGAAUAAGUAGUAAAUACAGAAGUGCCCCAAGAAGACAGCAGGCUGUCAAGGUUUUAAAGCUAUGCGAAGACAAGGGUUUGGGGCAACUCUUAUUCUCCCUGAAGUAUCUAAGAAGCUCUGGGGGCCUGGAUCCUGUUUUCUGAGGAGCUUAGCAGCACAGUUAUCACUUAAAAUAUAACAACUAGGCCUCUGUAUAUGUUAAACUCUCUGGAAACUGUUUCCUUCUGUCUAGCCUUGUGCCUAGGUUCUCCUCCUUCUCCAUCAGAGAGCCAGAUUCCUCUUCUGAAAUGCGGUUUCUCUUUCUCUUCAUUCCAGAGACUUUGGCCACCAAUUUGAGCAAGUAGAGGAGGAAAUGUCUCGUUAAUGUUUGUGCACAGGGAGCACUGGUCAAAAGUCUUUUCUAGGGGAGCAGAUAGUGCCAAUUCUUGUGGAAUUUGUUAUUCUACCUCUCUUUAAAGCAAGGAAGAAGCUGAGCUCUUAGCACAUUUUCGCUAUCAAAGAGAGAAACCUCUCCUGUCCUUUGUACUGACCUGAUUGCUGUGUGUUGGUAGGCCUCCACAUAAAUGUCUGGAUUGAGAAAAUCCAACUUGUUCUUGGCUGGACACUUCCCAGGUUUCACUGCAGCCAGGUAAGUGACAGAUUGUGGAACGGGCUGGCCAGCACUAGCUGCUGCGAAGCACUUAAUCAGGAACCUGGGAAGAGCAUAAAAAAUCAGAACAGUCCACUGUCGUGAUGUCCAUACAGCAAACCGACAUG